CAAGGCGCUUGAGAGACUCGGGUGAAGGAACUAGGCAAAAUGGUGCCGUAACUUCGGGAGAAGGCACGCUGGUGUGUAGGUGAAGCCCCUGCGGGUGGAGCUGAGACCAGUCGAAGAUACCAGCUGGCUGCAACUGUUUAUUAAAAACACAGCACUGUGCAAACACGAAAGUGGACGUAUACGGUGUGACGCCUGCCCGGUGCCGGAAGGUUAAUUGAUGGGGUUAUCCGUAAGGAGAAGCUCUUGAUCGAAGCCCCGGUAAACGGCGGCCGUAACUAUAACGGUCCUAAGGUAGCGAAAUUCCUUGUCGGGUAAGUUCCGACCUGCACGAAUGGCGUAAUGAUGGCCAGGCUGUCUCCACCCGAGACUCAGUGAAAUUGAACUCGCUGUGAAGAUGCAGUGUACCCGCGGCAAGACGGAAAGACCCCGUGAACCUUUACUAUAGCUUGACACUGAACAUUGAGCCUUGAUGUGUAGGAUAGGUGGGAGGCUUUGAAGCGUGGACGCCAGUCUGCGUGGAGCCAACCUUGAAAUACCACCCUUUAAUGUUUGAUGUUCUAACGUUGGCCCCUUAUCGGGGUUGCGGACAGUGUCUGGUGGGUAGUUUGACUGGGGCGGUCUCCUCCCAAAGCGUAACGGAGGAGCACGAAGGUUAGCUAAUCCUGGUCGGACAUCAGGAGGUUAGUGCAAUGGCAUAAGCUAGCUUGACUGCGAGCGUGACGGCGCGAGCAGGUGCGAAAGCAGGUCAUAGUGAUCCGGUGGUUCUGAAUGGAAGGGCCAUCGCUCAACGGAUAAAAGGUACUCCGGGGAUAACAGGCUGAUACCGCCCAAGAGUUCAUAUCGACGGCGGUGUUUGGCACCUCGAUGUCGGCUCAUCACAUCCUGGGGCUGAAGUAGGUCCCAAGGGUAUGGCUGUUCGCCAUUUAAAGUGGUACGCGAGCUGGGUUUAGAACGUCGUGAGACAGUUCGGUCCCUAUCUGCCGUGGGCGCUGGAGAAUUGAGGGGGGCUGCUCCUAGUACGAGAGGACCGGAGUGGACGCAUCACUGGUGUUCGGGUUGUCAUGCCAAUGGCACUGCCCGGUAGCUAAAUGCGGAAGAGAUAAGUGCUGAAAGCAUCUAAGCACGAAACUUGCCCCGAGAUGAGUUCUCCCUGAGACUUUAAGUCUCCUGAAGGAACGUUAAAGACGAUGACGUUGAUAGGCCGGGUGUGUAAGCGCAGCGAUGCGUUGAGCUAACCGGUACUAAUGAACCGUGAGGCUUAACCUU
rnacentral:ncRNA from 1 species